UCCCUGCAGAAAACAUGUGGGCUGACAAAUUAUUAUCAAAUUUGCUUCUUUAGGCUGGAAUCAAAGUAAAGCAAAAUAAUUAUAAUUAGAAGCUGUAACAGUUUCUGCCUUCAAAAUAUGAUAGGUGACACUGCCAAGAAGAGGGGAAAAUUAAGCUAAAUAUACAUAUAAAUUAUGUAAAAUUACAAAUUAAAAGGUGGAGGUUAUCAUUAUGUAUAUAAACAAAACCAAUUCUAUGCUUCCUCUAAAAAACUCAUUUAUAAAUAGGUUAAAAAUAAAAACAUGUAAUAAAAGUGCCAUGGUAACAGUAGCCAAAAGAAAGCUGAUACAGUUAUUUUAUAUCUGACAAAGUAGAUUUCAGAGCAAAGGAUAUUUGAGGGGAUAGAGGGGACUUGUUUGUAAUGAUAAUGGGGUCAAUUAUUCAAGAGGACCAAGCAACCAUAACAUUUAUAAUCCAACUACAGAAUUUAAACUAAAAUAAAGCAGAAACUGAUGUAUCUGCAAGGAGACAUAGACAAACCUACAAUUAAAGCCUGAGUUAGACAAUGCAGAACUUUCUUGCCUGAGACAAGAGAAAUCAAUGCACUAAACAAAUGGGUGAAUCUCAAAAGAUAUAAUACUGAGUGGAAAAAAAAUCUAGACAAAAUAUAACACCUAUUAUAUUAUUAUAUUUACCUAUCAUUCUAGUAAAGAGAUCCAGAUCAAUAAGGACAGAAAGCAUAUUAUUGCCUUGGGAAUUUUAUUAUCUUGAUUAUGGUUACCAUUCUAUAAGCAUGUCCAGAUAUCAGAAGGUAUCAAAUCGUAGCUUUUAAACAUAUUAGGUUACAUUUUAAUUAUACUUUAAUAAUUCUGUUACAGAGGGAAAAAAAAGUCACUCUUGACCCAGCAAAUCUCCAUCUGUAGCCUCUAGCCAUGUCAGAAAUAGAAAGCCAGCACCUUGCCAGGGUCUGCUUUUAAGAGCGGUAGUAUCUAUUGUAAAUAUUAUUCUGAUCAAUAACAGACUAAUAUUUUAAUGUGUUA
rnacentral:lncRNA from 1 species